rnacentral:rRNA from 1 species
GAUGAACGCUGGCGGCGUGCCUAAUACAUGCAAGUCGAGCGUACAGACGAGGAGCUUGCUCCUCUGACGUUAGCGGCGGACGGGUGAGUAACACGUGGAUAACCUACUUAUAAGACUGGGAUAACUUCGGGAAACCGGAGCUAAUACUGGAUAAUAUAUUGAACCGCAUGGUUCAAUAGUGAAAGACGGUUUUGCUGUCACUUAUAGAUGGAUCCGCGCCGCAUUAGCUAGUUGGUAAGGUAACGGCUUACCAAGGCAACGAUGCGUAGCCGACCUGAGAGGGUGAUCGGCCACACUGGAACUGAGACACGGUCCAGACUCCUACGGGAGGCAGCAGUAGGGAAUCUUCCACAAUGGGCGAAAGCCUGACGGAGCAACGCCGCGUGAGUGAUGAAGGUCUUCGGAUCGUAAAACUCUGUUAUUAGGGAAGAACAAAUGUGUAAGUAACUAUGCACGUCUUGACGGUACCUAAUCAGAAAGCCACGGCUAACUACGUG